UGUAAUCACAGGAUCUUUUCAAAUCUGUUGCACGGGCCAUCAGCCAGCAAGUGCGCCUGACCACUAGGGGAUUGCCCACCUCAGGGAAGGAGGAGGCAAAACGACUGGUGAGGGAGUUUAUUGAUGAGCAUCCGAAGGUCACUUCUGAAGCUGACCUCAAAGGCUGGCCAUAGUGGGCACAUGUUUUUGUAUUUUUACAUAUCUAUGAGGAAAAGAAAGAUAAAAGAAAUGACGUAUCUCCUAUUCCUACGUAUAGCCAUAGUCUGCAUUAUGAGCUCAUAAAAAACAAAGUGUCUGGUCAUGCUGGCUUUGGUGCUCAAUUUUUCAGGGAGACAUCACAGUUAUGGGAAUGGAAAGCUUGGUCUGAGAUCUUGCAUACAGAAAAAAACUUUGAUGAACUGGGUACAGGUGACACUGACAGUUUGUUGAGAAUAUGGUUCAAUAUGCAUUAUGCAGGAAAAGUGUUACUGACUGUAGGGAUUACAGAGAGGCA